GGUGUUCAUCACUAUUGCUGGGACAUCACGCGAAGCAAUACCUCAAGGAAUAAAAAACUAAAAAUUCACCAUGAAUUUUUUAUUGUUCGCUGCUGUCACUACUCUCGCCCUUCACGAGAUAUCAGCGUGCAAAUUCAAAACCGGGAGUGUAUAUUCUCCCAAAGAUCAAUUUGACGCAAAUAAGGAUAAGGCCAAACAGUGGGUUGUUAAUGUACGGGAGGACUUACAGGGGCUGAAGAUGAAGGUGACUUUUAAAGAGGACGGUAUGUGGAACGGUAACAAAAUCACUGGGACCUUGUGCGACGAGAAUGAAAAUCUUGAACCUUUCAAAAAUCUACUGUACACUAGUCUAGGAGUUGAAUCCUGCGACUUUACUGAGGGAAAGUAUCAAGCUGAGGAGGUGAAUGAAUUUUCCGACGAUGUGUGCUCCAAGGUAUCGGAAUUAACAAAUGGAAAUGAUGAUAUGCUUUAUUUGACACUGAUGAAAGAGGACGACGAGAUUUUACAUGUUCGCGUGCAUAAACAAUGAGCAUCUGCGAAGAUUUAUUACAUUUCAAUCAAUUAAUAAUUCUUUAAUUGAUUGAUUAUUUAUCGACUUCGUUAGUUAUUUAUGUUGAUGCUGUUGCUGAAGAUUGCCGCUAUAACACAAUUUCUCGAUACAGUUCAAUGUCAGCACAUAAGAAAUUCACUUCACAAUCACUUUUGUUUCAAAAGAUUAAUCACCUUCAAAAUUAAGUCUUCUGUUAACUUACCUCAAAAUUAAUAUUCAAUUCGGAUCGUUAAUCACCUCUGAUCGGAUGUUCGAUUAAUUCUAAUCUGGUUGGGAGUUUGCUGGUGGUCUCUAGGACCACUAUUAAUUAUUGGAGCGUCAAAAUUAAUGAUGGAGAAAGAAUGAGAAAAAGAAAGGAAGAAAGAAAAUUAAAGAAUAGAUGUUAGAAUAGGAUAUUUCAGGUGUUGGGAUAGAUAUCCUUUGGAACGGAACAGACGAACAACUGUCCCACUUGACGACUCCCAGCAAACUCCUCUUUUCAUCCAUAUAGGCUAUCUAUCCACCUAUUCCGCAAUGCCAUCUGGCGACAGACAUGCGAACUAUUACGUACUAUCAAGAUCAGCUAUUGCGGUCCAAAUAUUGAGGGUCAAACGGGACUCAAAUGAAACCUCUGAUGUUCCGAUACAAAAGUGGAGAACCAUUUCACUGGAGCAACAGUAGUCAAAAUACUUGGAUUUCUGUAAUUAGAAUAACAAUUAAUUAGAA